CGGGUGCGUAACACGUAUGCAACCUACCUAUAACUGGGGAAUAGCCUUCCGAAAGGAAGAUUAACACCGCAUAACAUCACGAAACGGCAUCGUUUUGUGAUCAAACCUCCGGGGGUUAUAGAUGGGCAUGCGUAACAUUAGCUAGUUGGUGAGGUAAUGGCUCACCAAGGCUACGAUGUUUAGGGGGUCUGAGAGGAUGAUCCCCCACACUGGUACUGAGACACGGACCAG
rnacentral:rRNA from 1 species